UCUGAAUGAACUGGACCUGGGCUUUAACAACCUGAAGAAGAUUCAAGUUCAGCUGCUGUUGCAGCUACGGAGAGACCCAUACGCACUGAGACUUGUGAGGUGGAGGGGGAACACACCAGUUUGAAAAGAGAAGCUGAGCUGUGUGGUUGAAGCUGCAGCAGUUUGAGUCUAAAGAGGCUCUUUCUGGAUCAUGAUGGUGACCUUUGACCUGAAAGAUUUUCAUUUUAUUUUCUCAUGUCUAUCAUUUAAUGUCUGAUAUUUUGUCUCUUUAGAUCAAUGAUCAAAUUCAAACUCCAAUUAAUCCCUAUUAAUCAGUCCCUUUCAAUUGCAACUAUGUACACAAGUUUACUCACCAUUGGUAAUUUUUUUCACCCGUAAUCACUUUUUAUACUGGAGGGGCUCAGUUUGGUUCUGAACUUGAUUCAACUGGAAAGCUGAUCUUUUUUCUUUGUGAUUUAUUUUCAUCCUGGAACCAGAAAUGCAAAAUAAAACGAUUCAACAGUU